GUACAAUAUUUGCAUUGAGUUGCCGUUACAGGUCGGGUAGCGAAAGCUGCCCUAUUUCAUUUGCAAGGAGCGUUUUCUGGCCAUGGCCUCGAAGAAAAGCCCGGCGACUGCUGAAGAGGAAGACAUCCGAAAAUCCCUUAAUGUCUUGACUGAGGACGUGAUGGACUGUAAGAUCCGACAGCAACAACUUCUGGAGCUCCUGCUGGAGGAGCGGAACCGGCUGCUAGCCCUGAACGAGAGAAAAAACAAGAAGCUCGCCGAACUCGAGAAGCGAGCGGACGAACAGGAGCAGCUCGCCAGACUCAAUGAACUGAUAAUCACCGGACUAAAUGUCAGACCCCGGCCAGAUGCGCCCGGUGAGAUGGAGGGAAGCUCUCCCCCUGGGGAGGGGGAGGCUUGCCGCCCCCUCCCCAGCAGGAGAAGGCUGUCUGAUAAACAAGCGAACAUCCGAAGGGCUGCGAAUCGAAAACACAAACUAGCUUUGGUGAAGGCGCACGGAGAGAAACUGAAGGGAACUGACGUGUGACGUUCACUGGACCCACGAGAUGGUUCGCUGGCCCUCCUCCAUCCCAUUCUCAACCAGGAGCAAUGCUGUGGUUAUGGUGUGGCCUUGACCACCAUCACCCGUAAGGUUCUGGGGUCCGAAUUUAUCCCAAGCAUGAAGACGUAAUCAGUCCAGACUUGAUUAGGGAUUUAUUUCAAAGAAAUCUUUACUUGCAUUCCUAAGAUCUCGCUUAAAAUGAACAUUCUCAGUCCCUGAAUGGUUUUACAUCUUGUUUGAAUGUAAUUUUGAAGUACCAAACUAAAAAAUGUGAAUUUCUUAUUUUGACUUCAGUCAUUCGUGAAUCUUCAGCUCAUAAGAGGUGGCUACCGAAGUUUAUCAGUCAGGAAGACUCUUCCUUUUUUUCCUAAUGUUAACAAACCCUUCAUUGUUUGGUGACGUUUGAGCAAAUCACAGAUUUAAACAUUGCUGCUCGCUGCAUAAGAGUCCUGAAAAUGAAGCCUGGACAUCAAAACCCAAGAGGGGAGGUGAAACAGCAGACCAACCUCGAACACAUCCUCGUCCAGCAGUCUCGUCCCGAACACCGUGACGCCGUCUGUGCUGAUGUGCGGAUCAAAACCUCUGAGCAGGUCCAGGGUGUCCACCUUUUCACAGUCUACAAAGAGACUCACCGACUGGCCUUCCACACUGUAGGCUACUCUGUGCCAUCUGGAAACGACACACACCAAAUACAAAUGCUUUUCAACUCAGGAGGGGCUAAAGAGCAAAUUUCUUCUUAGACUCUCAUUUUCAGAAAAAAAUAUUAUUAGAUUUAAAAAAUUAAAUAUUGUAGAUUUUUUUUCAAGUCUAAAAAUUUUUUCCAGAGUUGCAGAUAAACAUGAAAUAAUGCUGCUUCAACAAGAAAUUACAGAAGAAAAAAAAACAAUCCAUUAAUUUUACUUUUUUUAAUGCUAAAAAAUAUAGAAGGAAACCAUGAUGCUCCUUUCCUCAGCAUUUCAGAAUAUUUGAUCAGCUGUUAACAUAGUGAUGGGAGCAUGGAGACCAAGGUAGCUAAAAAUAGAUACCUCUACAUCAACAAAUUUUGGUAUCGACCACUCUAUUAAAGUAUCAGUCCCUGAUUCAUAAAAGAGAACAAAGAAGUAGAUGUGUCAGUUUUAGCUUUUCUUGGUUGUUAGGUAAGUUACUCCUGUGUUUAGUGCCAAAACACCCCCAGCCCACAGCAUGUUGAUCUGCUCCAUCAGUCAUGUGACCAGAGGAGCUGCGAGGUGUCCAUGUCACCCUUAUCAACAACACAGCAUGGCUUAGGUAGGUGAUAUUAGAUACAACAGUUUUGUAUUCUAAACCUUUUACAUUAAAGUUUUUGCCUUGUCAGUGUUUGAUGACAUUUGUUUUUAGGAUAACAAAUGAUAUACUUGAGAAAAAAAUUCACCAGAAACUGCGUGUGAUCGAUAUCAGUAAUUGGUAUUGAAUCUUUUAUGCAAAAAUUAAUGGGUAGAUAUAGAACCUUAAAAGUGUGGUAUAACCCACCACUAUUAUCCCGGCUCCUUAACUAAUAAAAUAUCUUAUUGGUUGGUUAGUUUAAAUUGAACUGAGACUGCAGAGGACUGUCACUCCUUUAUUCAGUUAAUCUGCAUUCACAGUCAAGUGGCUGAAAAGGGCUUAUAGUUACUAUGACUACACAUCUGGAGACAACAAUGUCCAAAAUCUCUGACCAAGAAGGGCAAAAAAAGCACAAAGACAACUAUCUUUUACAUAAGCCUUGCUGCAGUAACAAACACCUUCAGCUGCUCAAUUACAAGCCUUGUUGAACUAGUUCUAUCUUCUUACACAGUUGAACUUGUUAAACAGCAGUUGUAAUAUAGAAAGCUCAUCUCUGAUAUUAUUGACUGGUGUUAAGGUAAUUGACUCUUUUUAAACACAUCAACAAUCAAAUGAUGGUGGAUUUUAGCAGGAAGAAGAAAUCGCCCCACCUGCCUGUUAACAUUGUUGGAAACAGCAUUAAGAUCGUCCCGUCCUUCAAAUACCUUUAAGUCUACCUUGACCAAAAACUGGACUGGGCUGAGCAGACUAUGGCCUCUUACAAGAAAGGCGGGAGCAGAGUUAAGGUUUUGUUUUAUUGAGGAUGCUAUGGUCAUCCAAUGUCUGCAAUCAAAUGUUACACAAUUUUAUCAGUCUGUUGUGGCCAGUGCUGUUUUUUAUGGUGUGGGCUGUUGGGGCAACAACAUCACAACGAGGGAAGGUAAAUUGGCAGGAUAAAUCGAUCAAGAACUGUGUUGCCGAUGUGGGGUGAGGGGGUUCACUGUGGGCUUGCUGGUGGAGGACUGAAUGAUGAGUAGGAUAAAGGCUGUCCUCAACAACACAAAUCACCCACAGCACAAGACUUUGGCUUCUCAGAGGAGCAGCAGCAGUGACCGGCUCGUCUCGCUGGACUGCAGAACUUGGUGAUCUCUUAUCCCAGCUGCUACAGGACUUUAUAAUGAGAUUUUAUCAGUUUUAUUAUACCUCCGAGGCAGCAUUUUAAGUAUUUAUUUCAUUCUGGUCUUUAAUUUUUUGAGGAUGAAUAAAGUAUUAUCCAC